GACGUAGGGCGCGAGCGUUGUCCGGAUUUAUUGGGCGUAAAGAGCUCGUAGGCGGCUUGUCGCGUCGUCCGUGAAAACCCACGGCUUAACUGUGGGCUUGCGGUCGAUACGGGCGGGCUGGAGUUCGGUAGGGGAGACUGGAAUUCCUGGUGUAGCGGUGAAAUGCGCAGAUAUCAGGAGGAACACCGGUGGCGAAGGCGGGUCUCUGGGCCGAUACUGACGCUGAGGAGCGAAAGCGUGGGGAGCGAACAGG
rnacentral:rRNA from 1 species